rnacentral:rRNA from 1 species
UGUAAUUUUUUUGAGCUUUAUGCCGACUAUCAGGAGUAGAGCCUUUUGUUCUAUGGAUAGGAAAGUUUACGCUUUUUUUAACAGCUUCGGCUUUUAGUGAUUUAUUCGCAUAAAAUUCUAUAUAGAAUACAGAUAAUGACUAUUUUCUAUAUAUAAGUCUUGACUAAAACACGUGCCAGCAGUCGCGGUAACACGGGACAGACUAGUGUUAUUCNUCUUUAAUAGGUUUAAAGGGUACGUAGGCGGUAAGAAAGCUUUGAAAAAACUUUUUACUAGAGUUUUAUAUAAGAGGAGUUUAGUACUAACAGAGUAGAGAUGAAAUUCUUUGAUACUGUAGGGCACUGGUAAAGGCGAAGGCAGACCUUUAUGUAAAUACUGACGUUGAGUGACGAAGGCUAGGGUAACGAACAGGAUUAGGUACCCUAAUAGUCCAUGCAGAGACUGAUGAGUGUCAUAGGUCAAAAAAAAUUCUUAGGGUCAUAAUUUAUUAUUGUUAAAUAAUAUAGGUAUUAAGAAAGAAUUUGAAUAAAAAAAUUUUUUUUGGUUUAUAAAUGAAAGUGUAAGCACUCCACCUUAAGAGUAAUACGGCUACGUAGGAACUAAAAUCAUUAGACCGUUUCUGAUACCAGUAGUGAAGUAUGUUGUUUAAUUCGAUGAUCCACGAAAAAUCUUACCACAAUUUGAAUAUUAUAUCACCUUUUGUAAAGUGAUUACACAAUAUUUGUGUGAUUAUGAAAGUGGUAUAUUACAGGUGUUGCAUGGCUGUCUUCAGUUGAUGUCGUGAGAUGCUGGUUAGAUCCUAAGAAUCAACGUAUAACCCUUAUUUUAUUUUUAUAAAUAGAGUAGUUUCGCCGCGAAAUGGUUGAUA